rnacentral:rRNA from 1 species
GAUGAACGCUGGCGGCGUGCUUAACACAUGCAAGUCGAACGGAAAGGCCCAAGCUUGCUUGGCUCCUCGAUUGGCGAACGGGUGAGUAACACGUGGGUGAUCUGCCCUGCACUUCGGGAUAAGCCUUGGAAACUGGGUCUAAUACCGGGUAGGACCACUUCGUAGUUGUGGUUGUGGAAAGUUUUUUCGGUGUGGGUUGGGCUCUCGGCCUAUCAGCUUGUUGGUGGGGUGAUGUCCUACCAGGGCGUCGCCGGGUACCCGGCCUGUGAGGGUGUGCGCCCACAUUGGGGCAGUGAGACGCGCCAGACUCCUCCGGGAGACAGCGCAGGGGAGUAUUGCACAAUGGGCGGGAGAGUGAUGCCGCGCCGCGGCGUGGGGGAUGACGGCCCUCGAGUUGUGAACUCCUUUCGCAAACGACGAAUUUAUGACGGUAUUUGGAGAAGAAGCCCCGGCUAACUACGUG